rnacentral:rRNA from 1 species
AUGGCGACCGGCGCACGGGUGAGUAACACGUAUCCAACCUGCCCUUUACUAUGGGACAGCCCGUCGAAAGGCGGAUUAAUACCGUAUGUUGUCAUGUUGAUGCAUAUUUUCAUGACCAAAGGCUUCGGCCGGUAAAGGAUGGGGAUGCGUCUGAUUAGCUUGCCGGCGGGGUAACGGCCCACCGGGGCGACGAUCAGUAGGGGUUCUGAGAGGAAGGUCCCCCACAUUGGAACUGAGACACGGUCCAAACUCCUACGGAAGGCAGCAG